rnacentral:rRNA from 1 species
UACGUAGGGUCCGAGCGUUGUCCGGAAUUACUGGGCGUAAAGAGCUCGUAGGUGGUUUGUCGCGUCUGCUGUGAAAAUCCGGGGCUCAACCCCGGACUUGCAGUGGGUACGGGCAGACUAGAGUGUGGUAGGGGAGACUGGAAUUCCUGGUGUAGCGGUGGAAUGCGCAGAUAUCAGGAGGAACACCGAUGGCGAAGGCAGGUCUCUGGGCCACUACUGACGCUGAGAAGCGAAAGCAUGGGGAGCGAACAGG